AGAGUUUGAUCCUGGCUCAGAUUGAACGCUGGCGGAAUGCUUUACACAUGCAAGUCGAACGGCAGCACGGGGCAACCUGGUGGCGAGUGGCGAACGGGUGAGUAAUAUAUCGGAACGUGCCCAAUCGUGGGGGAUAACGUAGCGAAAGUUACGCUAAUACCGCAUACGAUCUACGGAUGAAAGCGGGGGAUCGCAAGACCUCGCGCGAAUGGAGCGGCCGAUAUCAGAUUAGGUAGUUGGUGGGGUAAAGGCUCACCAAGCCAACGAUCUGUAGCUGGUCUGAGAGGACGACCAGCCACACUGGAACUGAGACACGGUCCAGACUCCUACGGGAGGCAGCAGUGGGGAAUUUUGGACAAUGGGCGCAAGCCUGAUCCAGCCAUUCCGCGUGCAGGAUGAAGGCCUUCGGGUUGUAAACUGCUUUUGUACGGAACGAAACGGUCUGCCCUAAUACGGCGGGCUAAUGACGGUACCGUAAGAAUAAGCACCGGCUAACUACGUGCCAGCAGCCGCGGUAAUACGUAGGGUGCAAGCGUUAAUCGGAAUUACUGGGCGUAAAGCGUGCGCAGGCGGUUAUAUAAGACAGAUGUGAAAUCCCCGGGCUCAACCUGGGAACUGCAUUUGUGACUGUAUAGCUAGAGUACGGCAGAGGGGGAUGGAAUUCCGCGUGUAGCAGUGAAAUGCGUAGAUAUGCGGAGGAACACCGAUGGCGAAGGCAAUCCCCUGGGCCUGUACUGACGCUCAUGCACGAAAGCGUGGGGAGCAAACAGGAUUAGAUACCCUGGUAGUCCACGCCCUAA
rnacentral:rRNA from 1 species